GAGGCUCUGAUUGGGCGGGUUUGAGGGUCUGAUUGGGUGGGUUUGAGGGUCUGAUUGGGUGGGUUUGAGGGUCUGAUUGGGUGGGUUUGAGGCUCUGAUUGGGCGGGUUUGAGGGUCUGAUUGGGUGGGUUUGAGGGUCUGAUUGGGCGGGUUUGAGGCUCUGAUUGGGCGGGUUUGAGGGUCUGAUUGGGCGGGUUUACUGUUUUCACGUCUGGGAAAACCUGUCACCAUUUCCCGGUUUUACCAAAAUGCACACCUACACCUGGACGUCUCUUUGUGCACAGGUACGGCCACCGUUGCGAUUCCAGCGGUUGUAGGACUAGCGGGCUUCACAGCUGCCGGUGUUGCGGCCGGAUCCGUCGCCUCCUCCAUGAUGUCAGCAGCGGCGGUAGCCAAUGGGGGCGCAGUGGCUACUGGAUCUGCGGUGGCUGUUCUACAGUCAAUAGGGGCAGCAGGACUCUCUACCGCAGCCUCUGCAGCACUGUCCAGUGCCGGGGCGACUAUCGGAGCCAUCCUGAUCUAACCCUCGGCCUGCCAUCCCCUGGAUCCAUCCCUGAGGUGGACUCACCAGACCAGCCCAGCAUGCCCUUUGAUCCCAAACUAAAAAAUAUUUAGGAAAAUGCAUGCAGUUAGCACAAAAAGCAAUUUUGAAAGCUGUAAAAAAAAACAACCUUCGUAAAACAGUUAGUUGACAAUCUGUUUAAAUAAAUAACAAAUUCACUAA